UUUUCAGAAUUCUUCUGACAGAGAACUAAUGAAUACUUAUCAGUAUUUAUCUCUCGAAGAUAUAGAAGAAUGUAGAGAUAUACUCAAUAAUAAUAACACAUUUUGUACUGAAAUUAUAGAUGAAUUCGUAACAUUAUUAAAAAGACAUAAAAAGGUUAAUCAAAAAUUAAAACGUAAAGUUCAUCUACAAAUACUUAAUGAGCCAACGUAAAAGAUGUGGGAGAUCGUGUCAAGGGGAAAUUUAUGAUAAGAGUGGCUGACACCAAGUAGUUGGGAUUAAGGUGAGUAAAAAAAGAUAUAUUUUCAUAGUUUUUUUAAAUAAUAUGCUUGAAUAUAAAUAUUUAUCAAUUAAGUUAUUGAAUCAUUGAAAAUAUUGAAUAAUACAAUGUAAUAU